rnacentral:rRNA from 1 species
GAUGAACGCUGGCGGCGUGCUUAACACAUGCAAGUCGAACGGAGCUUAUGUGAUAGAGGAUUCGUCCAAUUGAUCAUAAGCUUAGUGGCGGACGGGUGAGUAACGCGUGAGGAAUCUGCCUUGGAGUGGGGAAUAACACAGUGAUAAUUGUGCUAAUACCGCAUAAUGCAGUUGAGUCGCAUGGCUUUGACUGCCAACGCUUUAUAGCUCUGAGAUGACCUCGCGUGUGAUGAGCUAGUUGGUAGCGUAAUGGCCUAUCAAGGCUACGAUCAGUCGCCGGACUGAUAGGUUGGCCGGCCACAUUGGGCCUGUGCAACGGCCCAGACUCCUACGGGAGGCAGCAGUGGGGAAUAUUGGGCAAUUGGCGCAAGCCUGACCCAGCAACGCCGCGUGAAGGAAGAAGCCUUUCGGGUUGUAAACUUCUUUUGUCAGGGACGAACAAAUGACGGUACCUUACGAAUAAGCCACGGCUAACUACGUGCCAGCAGCCGCGGUAACAC